rnacentral:rRNA from 1 species
UACGGAGGAUGCAAGCGUUAUCCGGAAUGAUUGGGCGUAAAGCGUCCGCAGGUGGCUGUGUAAGUCUGCUGUCAAAGAGCAAAGCUCAACUUUGUAAAGGCAGUGGAAACUACACGGCUAGAGUGCGUUCGGGGCAGAGGGAAUUCCUGGUGUAGCGGUGAAAUGCGUAGAGAUCAGGAAGAACACCGGUGGCGAAGGCGCUCUGCUGGACCGCAACUGACACUCAGGGACGAAAGCUAGGGGAGCGAAUGGG